rnacentral:rRNA from 1 species
AACGCGAAGAACCUUACCUGGUCUUGACAUCCACAGAACUUUCCAGAGAUGGAUAGGUGCCUUCGGGAACUGUGAGACAGGUGCUGCAUGGCUGUCGUCAGCUCGUGUUGUGAAAUGUUGGGUUAAGUCCCGCAACGAACGCAACCCUUAUCCUUUGUUGCCAGCGGUCCGGCCGGGAACUCAAAGGAGACUGCCAGUGAUAAACUGGAGGAAGGUGGGGAUGACGUCAAGUCAUCAUGGCCCUUACGACCAGGGCUACACACGUGCUACAAUGGCAUAUACAAAGAGAAGCGACCUCGCGAGAGCAAGCGGAUCUCAUAAAGUAUGUCGUAGUCCGGAUUGGAGUCUGCAACUCGACUCCAUGAGGUCGGAAUCGCUAGUAAUCGUGGAUCAGAAUGCCACGGUGAAUACGUUCCCGGGUCUUGUACACACCG